rnacentral:rRNA from 1 species
GACGAACGCUGGCGGCGUGCUUAACACAUGCAAGUCGAACGGAGUGGCGAACGGGUGAGUAACACGUGGGUGACCUGCCCUGCACUUCGGGAUAAGCCUGGGAAACUGGGUCUAAUACCGGAUAGUGGGGGCUGGGCCGGCGGCCUAUCAGCUUGUUGGUGGGGUAAUGGCCUACCAAGGCGGCGACGGGUAGCCGGCCUGAGAGGGUGGACGGCCACAUGGGGACUGCGAGACGACCCAGACUCCUACGGGAGGCAGUGGUGGGGAAUAUUGCACAAUGGGCGGAAGCCUGAUGCAGCGACGCCGCGUGGGGGAUGACGGCCUUCAGGUUGUAAACUCCUUUCACCAUCGACGCGGUAGAUGGAGAAGAAGCACCGGCUAACUACGUGCCAGCAGCCGCGGUAAUUC